CAGCGGAACGGUGCCCGCUCCACAGUCCGGCCAGAGGCUCGGAGGCUGUGCUCACAGUCUGUAUCUUCUUCACUGCUCACAGCCAGCCCUCUGGGUACCCUCUCUAAUCCGCCGGCCAGCGAACAAGACGACGUGCGACAACAGACGCUUCGAGCUGACCCAGCUGCUCUGGGCGAAACAAACAGCCCCGUGCGGAAUCGCCGUGAAGUUCGGCAAUCGAUCAAGUUUGGUCAACUAGGUGACUCCGAAUCGAUCUAAUCGACCAAAAUCCGCGGUUGGGAGGAACAAUCAUCGUGAAGUUCCUUCCAUGAAGUGCUCUAGGGAAAGGCGAGAAGAGUCGCUUCCCCGGAGUUCUCUUUCGGGAUGUUCGCCGUGUGUCGGGGGUGCUUGAUGUGCGGGAGCGAUGGAUAUCAGGGUUCCCUCGACAACUCCUAAGAAAACGGACACGAUCUGAGCAUGGCGAAGCUUCCAUCCGCAAUACGGAGAAAACUUCUCUGAAGACUCCGCUACCGAGGUCAUGAUACGCAGGAGAGCCAUAGUCCAGGUCUAGGAGGCAGGAUACCGGCGGUCAGCGUCCAGAGAGUCUGAAACGUUGACAUGUACAUGAACCCGAUAAGUGAACAUUUCCCGCGAUAGCGAAUCGGGAUCCAGGAGAGGCUUCCCCCCGAAGGAAUCUACGUUUCUCGGGUGAUCUUGUUUUCUCAAACCAGGAGCUAUACUCGGCAGAGAUCCGUCUCGGGAUAUCGUGCCGCUCGGUAAUGCGAGUCUUCAUCGUUUAGGAUUUUGAGCAGGGCAGGCUGGUCGGUUGUCUGUCAUCGUCUCUCACCAUCGACUCCGACGGGGGGUGAGGUCGACGUCGCGCAGGACCGUAGAGAUCUCAAAACCAAGCCGGUCCCUCAUUAUUGUUGGCUCCUUGGGAAAUGUCCGCGAAAGUUCGGAGGAUCAGGCACGAGAUGAGAACGAUCCCGGACAACUUUCUUGGGACGGGCUCGAAUCAUCGUAUCUUGGAGAAUAAAAGAGACACUUCCGAU